UCACUUCAGCAACAAUCACUUCAAAUUUUCAAGCAUACAACAGCAGCAGCCAGCGAAAUCUAAGAAAGGUAUGCACUAAUCAAUUGUUUUUAAGUACUAAUAUUUAGGGAUAAAGUAAUAUUUAAUUAUCUGAAUAUUUUAUACUAGGGACCAAGUUAUAAAAAGUUUAGAAGUUGGAGUUGAAUUCUAUAUCUUUAUACAAGUUAAAAUACAAUUUAAUCAUAUUGGUUUGUAAUUUUACAUAUUUAGUUUAAAGAGAUUAGAUCAAAAUUUUAUCAUUUUAGAGGUUGAGAUGCAAUUUUACCGUGUAUUAACACCCAAAACAUAAAUUUCCAUUUUAGGUGGCCGAAGCCUUGGUUAUUUAUCUACUUUGAUCUUUGAACUUCUUUUUUGUCUAAAUUAAUUCGAAAAUUUAAUAGUUUUUCCUAGUUUAGUCCUUCAACCUUGGUCUAUGCUACAUCAUCGCUUUCAUUCUUUUUUUAUUAUUUAAGUUUUUUAAAAUUUUCAAAUGAUGACGUGAUAUAAUCUUAAAGUGUCAUGCUAUCUCUCUUUAACGGAAUUCAAGUUCAUGGACUAAAUUAAAAGAAUUGUUAAGUUCAAAGACUAAAUAUUAUUUUAUCCCUAAUAUUAGUUACCCUGUUUUAGAAGUUGAUUGAAUUUAUUGCUUGCUUACUUUUGUUAUUAACCAUUGCUUUGUUCUUCUUCUUCUUCUUCUUUUUAAUUUUAGGUCCCGUAAUAGAAAAAAGAUGGAUGAGAAAUUUCUAAAAUCAUUAGAAACUAGAAAAUAUGAUCUCAAAUCCAGUGAUUUACCCAUAUCAAGUUACAGAGACUUGGGCCCUGGCUGUGGUGAAUUCAUCCCCUACAAUGUUUAGAGCUAUUUACAACUCCCCAACAUUUAAUAGAAGAAUAAAAGCACUUGAGCACGCUUCAACCCACAGCCUUCUAUACUAACAAUAAUGUUGAUACUAACUAAAUUAAAACUCAAUUUAACAACUGUAUAGAUUUUUAGGUUAAAUAAAUUUUAAGUACACAUAUUACUGUUGUGAUGUAAGUAUUUAGGAUAAAUCACCCUGCAUUGUCAGACAAAUUGACCCACACUAUAAAUUGUAUAUACAAACAAAAUUAAAGAGCAUUGGUAAAAUGUAUAAAAAUUUUAUUAACAUUCAAUAUUUAUAAUAAAUUAAACACAAAUAGAAUAUACAAAACUUUGAUGCCUAGAAUCCUUUAGGGCACUUCAAGCAGCCUUUAAUUUUUGUGAUUGGAUGAGUCUUGGCUGCCACAAAUUGAAGAAGAAAAAUAUAUAAAAGCAUUUCAGAACAAAUACACACAAAUUAAGCAUCUGCAUGUAAGAAACUUACAUAAUUAGUUCGUUUUCGGUUUCACAAGUUUAAUCGUUUUAAGUUUGGGAUUUUAAUUUUUGGAUUAUUUUAAAUUCGAAUGAAUGUUUUGUUUGAAUCAAUUUAUAUUUGAGUGAAUAAUAAAUGGGUUUAAAUUGCUAAUUUUUUAUGGUCAAACUUAAUUAAUUAGUUAAAUUUUCGGAUUCAUGUUAGAAUUGAC
rnacentral:lncRNA from 1 species